rnacentral:rRNA from 1 species
ACUUUACAAUGCUGGCAACAGCGAUAAGGGAACCUCGAGUGCCAGGUUACAAAUCUGGCUGUCGAGAUGCCUAAAAAGCAUUUCAUAGCAAGGGCCGGGCAAGACCGGUGCCAGCCGCCGCGGUAACACCGGCGGCUCGAGUGGUAACCGUUAUUAUUGGGUCUAAAGGGUCUGUAGCCGGCCGGAUAAGUCUCUUGAGAAAUCUGGCAGCUUAACUGUCAGGCUUUCAGAAGAUACUGUCUGGCUCGAGGCCGGGAGAGGUGAGAGGUACUUCGGGGGUAGGGGUGAAAUCUUGUAAUCCUUGAAGGCCCACCAGUGGCGAAGGCGUCUCACCAGAACGGACCUGACGGCAAG